rnacentral:rRNA from 1 species
UGAAUACCAGACGCUACGGCGUUGAAGCAGUGUAUGUCAGACUUCCAAGAAAAGCUCGCAAUGUCCGAAAUAAAAUAAUGCCUGUACCAUAACCGACACAGGUGGGUAGGUAGAGUAUACUAAGGGGCGCGAGAUAACUCUCUCUAAGGAACUCGGCAAAAUAACUCCGUAACUUCGGGAGAAGGAGUGCCUUAUUUUAAGGUUGCAAUAACAAGAUCCAAGCAACUGUUUACCAAAAACACAGGUCUCCGCUAAGUCGUAAGACGAUGUAUGGGGGCUGACGCCUGCCCAGUGCCAGAAGGUUAAAGAAGUUGGUUAGCUAUUGCGAAGCUGAUGACUGAAGCCCUGGUGAACGGCGGCCGUAACAAUAACGGUCCUAAGGUAGCGAAAUUCCUUGUCGGGUAAGUUCCGACCCGCACGGAAGGCGUAAUGAUUUGGAUACUGUCUCGGAGAGGGGCUCGGUGAAAUAGACUUGUCUGUGAAGAUGCGGACUACCUGCACCUGGACAGAAAGACCCUAUGAAGCUUUACUGUAACUUGAAAUUGAAAUUGGACUUUAUUUGCGCAGUAUAGGUGGGAGGCGUUUGAAGAUAUUCUUGCGGGAAUGUUGGAGCCAUUAGUGAGAUACCACUCUUGUAAUGUUAGAUUUCUAACUUUGUACCAUAAUCUGGUCAAAGAACAGUUUCGGGCGGGCAGUUUGACUGGGGCGGUCGCCUCCCAAAUGGUAACGGAGGCAUACAAAGGUUUCCUCUGAACGUGUAGAAAUCGUAUCUAGAGUGUAAAGGCAUAAGGAAGCUUGACUGUGAGACCUACAAGUCAAGCAGGGACGAAAGUCGGUCUUAGUGAUCUGACGGUACUGAGUGGAAAGGCCGUCACUCAACGGAUAAAAGUUACUCUAGGAUAACAGGCUGAUCUCCCCCAAGAGUUCACAUCGACGGGGAGGUUUGGCACCUCGAUGUCGGCUCAUCGCAUCCUGGGGCGGUAGUACGUCCCAAGGGUUGGGCUGUUCGCCCAUGAAAGCGGUACGCGAGCUGGGUUCAGAACGUCGUGAGACAGUUCGGUCCAUAUCCGGUGUAGGCGUUAGAAUAUUGAGAGGAGCCUUCUUUAGUACGAGAGGACCGAGAAGGACAUACCUCUGGUGUACCAGUUAUCGUGCCAACGGUAAACGCUGGGUAGCUAUGUAUGGAGAGGAUAACCGCUGAAAGCAUCUAAGUGGGAAGCCCACCUCGAGAUGAGUAUUCUCAU